CGGGGUGCAGCAGGCGCGAAAACUUUGCAAUGCGGGAAACCGUGACAAGGGAACUCUGAGUGCCCGUUAAAUCGGGCUGUCCAUCGGUUUAAAUAACCGGUGAAGAAAGGGCCGGGCAAGACCGGUGCCAGCCGCCGCGGUAAUACCGGCGGCUCGAGUGGUGGCCACUAUUACUGGGCUUAAAGCGUUCGUAGCUGGUUUGUUAAGUCUCUGGGGAAAUCUUCCGGCUUAACCGGAAGGCGUCUCAGGGGUACUGGCAGACUAGGGACCGGGAGAGGUGAGAGGUACUCCAGGGGUAGGAGUGAAAUCCUGUAAUCCUUGGGGGACCACCUGUGGCGAAGGCGUCUCACCAGAACGGCUCCGACAGUGAGGGACGAAAGCUGGGGGAGCAAACCGGAUUAGAUACCCGGGUAGUCCCAGCUGUAAACGAUGCGCGUUAGGUGUAUCGGUGACCACGAGUCACCGAGGUGCCGAAGAGAAAUCGUGAAACGUGCCGCCUGGGAAGUACGGUCGCAAGGCUGAAACUUAAAGGAAUUGGCGGGGGAGCAAAGGGCGAAUCG
rnacentral:rRNA from 1 species